rnacentral:rRNA from 1 species
CAAAAACAUAGCUUCCAGCCCACCAAGUAUUAGAAGUAAUGCCUGCCCUGUGGAAACCCUAAACGGCCGCGGCACUAAAACCGUGCAAAGGUAGCACAAUCACUUGUCCCUUAAAUGAGGACCCGUAUGAAAGGCGACAUGAGAGAGGACCUGUCUCCUAAGGCCCGCCAAUGAAAUUGUGCCCCCAGUACAAAAACUGGGAUACUAAAGCAAGACAAAAAGACCCUGUGGAACUUUUAACGAAUGUUUAAACACGUUAAACAAUAGUUUCAGUUGGGACAACUUUGGAAAAAAUAAACCUCUUAAACUACCACGACAAACAAGUCUAAAAUACCCCAGACCCAGUUAUACUGAUUAACGAAACAAGCUACCCCAGGGAUAACAGCGCUACCUUCUCAAAGAGUCCUUAUCAACAAGAAGAUCUACGACCUCGAUGUUGGAUCAGGGUACCCAGACGGUGCAGCAGCUGUCAAUGGUUCGUUUGUUCAACGAUUAAU